CAUGAAGCUGGAAUCGCUAGUAAUCGCGAAUCAGAAUGUCGCGGUGAAUACGUUCCCGGGUCUUGUACACACCGCCCGUCACACCAUGGGAGUCGGAAAUGCCCGAAGUCAGUGACCCAACCGCAAGGAGGGAGCUGCCGAAGGUGGAGCCGGUAACUGGGGUGAAGUCGUAACAAGGUAUC
rnacentral:rRNA from 1 species